rnacentral:rRNA from 1 species
AAUUAUUAUUAGAUUUUUAAAUAAUUAUUCACGAAAUAAAUUGAGCUAAAUUUUUGGUAUUUUUGGAAAUUAUAACUAUAUGUUACAAAAUAUAUUAACUAAAUAGAUUUAGGGGUGAAAGGCCUAUCAAAUUUUAUGAUAUCUUGAAGUAUAUAAAAUAUAUCAAGUAUUUCUAAUUCAACUAUUGAAUGUUUAGGUUCAAUAGUAACAUUAUAUUUUUUAAAAAAUUGUUCAAUUUUUUUAAGUAAAAUUGAGUUAGAGCAUAAAAUAUACAUCAAAUUUUUAUUAUAUGAAAUAUAAAUAUACUACGGUUAUUAAUAAAUAUAAUCAUAUAUAAUGUAAUUAUUAGUAAUAGUUUAUUAAACUAUAUAAAGGAAUUCGGCAAGAAAAUUUUUCACCUGUUUAUCAAAAACAUAGCUUAUUGAAUAUCAUAAUAAGUAACCCCUGCUCAAUGGAAAUCUAAAUAGCCGCAGUACCUUGACUGUGCAAAGGUAGCAUAAUCAAUUGGCUUAUAAUUGAAGUCUGGAAUGAAUGGGUAAUCUGGAAAAUAACUGUCUUUAUUUGUAGUAUUUUGAAUUUACUUAUAAAGUGAAAAUACUUUAAUAUAAAUAUAAGACGAGAAGACCCUAGAAAUUUUUUGUUAAUAACUUUUGUUGGGGCGACAGGGUAACAUAUAAACUUACUUACAUUUAUAUAAAUCUUAUAAGGUACGUAACUAAAUUACUCUAGGGAUAACAGCAUAAUAUAUAAAAGUUUAUGACCUCGAUGUUGGACUAGGUAAUUAAAUAUUUAAAAGAUAUCUUAAUUUGCUCUGUUCGAGCAGUAUCACCUACAU